rnacentral:rRNA from 1 species
AUUGAACGCUGGCGGCAUGCUUUACACAUGCAAGUCGAACGGCAGCGCGGGCUUCGGCCUGGCGGCGAGUGGCGAACGGGUGAGUAAUGCAUCGGAACGUGCCCAGUAGUGGGGGAUAGCCCGACGAAAGCCGGAUUAAUACCGCAUACGACCUGAGGGUGAAAGCGGGGGACCGAAAGGCCUCGCGCUAUUGGAGCGGCCGAUGUCGGAUUAGCUAGUUGGUGGGGUAAAGGCUUACCAAGGCGACGAUCCGUAGCUAGUCUGAGAGGACGACCAGCCACACUGGGACUGAGACACGGCCCAGACUCCUACGGGAGGCAGCAGUGGGGAAUUUUGGACAAUGGGGGCAACCCUGAUCCAGCCAUGCCGCGUGCGGGAAGAAGGCCUUCGGGUUGUAAACCGCUUUUGUUCGGGAAGAAAUCCUCUGGGCUAAUACCCCGGGGGGAUGACGGUACCGGAAGAAUAAGCACCGGCUAACUACGUG